GGGUGUGGUGCGUAUCUUGAAUGUCAAAACGACUCUCGGCAACGGAUAUCUCGGCUCUCGCAUCGAUGAAGAACGUAGCGAAAUGCGAUACUUGGUGUGAAUUGCAGAAUCCCGUGAACCAUCGAGUCUUUGAACGCAAGUUGCGCCCGAAGCCUUCGGGCCGAGGGCACGCCUGCCUG
rnacentral:rRNA from 1 species